GCUGCCGCCACCGCCGCCGCCGAUUCCGGAGCCGGGGUAGCCGCCGCCGCCGCCGCCGCUGCAGCCACUGCAGGCACCGCUGCCGCCGCCUGAGGAGUGGGCUUGGGAAGGAAGAGGUCAUCUCGCUCGGAGCUUCGCUCGGAAGGGUCUUUGUUCCCUGCAGCCCUCCCACGGUGAGUGCGGCGCGGGGUCCGACCGGGGCCCCCGGGGGCCCAAACUCGAAGCCCCUCUCUGGCUGCUGUGACGACGGCGGCCCAGCGGGUGGGCCCCAGGGGGUAGCGGCGUGCUGCCUCUUUCGCUCCGCGCGGUCGCCGGCGGCGAGGCCAGACCUCGCAGCGGCCCCUCCCUGUUUCCGGGGCCGGGCCCUUUACCUCUUGGAGAGGCCGGGGCCGCCUGAGGUCCUGCGGGCCGGGCGGGGUGCAAGUCUGUACUGCGCCGUAAGGGACAGCGGAGCCGGGGAUCCCGGACCCUCCCUCACUAUCUGCUUCGGUCCCCACGCGACCCCUCCCUGCGUCUUGGUCGGCAAGAACUGUCCCCUUCAGCCCUGUCACCUCUGCUCCGUGCUUUCUGGUUUCCAGAAAUUAAAAUUUAAUCAAACGCGGGUGAGUUUUCUAGCCCCAAUCUCCGCGUUUGACUCCUCUUGGAUGAGUAAGGGGUUUAACCUUGGCAGACAGCAGUGGGGGAACCCCCUCCCAUUUUGCAGUAAAACCAUUUCAUCAUCCUUCACUGGUUAUGGAGCCUGGCAGGACCCAAGAUUCCCUAGGAAGGGAAUUGGGUUUGAAUCAAGAAAAUGUGUUUGUUGGAGCCGGUUACUGAGUCAGGCGGGAUCCCCAGGAAAAAAUAUCAGGGGAUGACAAUCGGAGUAUUUUCCCACAGUAUUUACCGUCAUUUAAUGCCAGAUUCUUUUGUGUCUUUACCCCAAGUUCCCCCAUAUUGUGUGUUAGCACGUUUUUCGGUGUGAAAUUUGCCCGGUGGCUUCCUGGUCGGGGGGUGGGGAGUGGAGGGAAGAAGAGGUGGGAAGGUGAGUGCAUCUUUGCCGCAAAUGGAGAACUCCCAUAUAAUGGGGUUUUCAGAGGUGGCAGCCUUGGUAAGCAAUUUGCCAACCUUUCUGUAAAAUACAUGUUUCUUGUCGUUGCCUUCAUUGCAUUUCUCUCUGGUAAGGCUAGAUAGCAUCAGGUCCUGAUUUUGCUUGCCCUGUGUGGGAGAUGGAAUUUGGCAAGAUGAUGCUAUGAACAUAAAAUCAGCCUCCCUGGGAACCAAAAGAGAAAGGUGAAGCACUUAUAGGAAUAUGAAAAUUGUCUGCAUUUCUCGUUCUGUCAGUUGAUGUGAAGCCAGACACAGAUGCAGUUUGUAGACCUGAACACUGCAGCUUUUGCAUUUUCAUGUUGGAAAUGUAUAUAAGUAUUUGUUCUUAGUGAAUUUCUUCUUGACUGCUUCCAGUGUACCCUAUUUCUUACUUAGGGAUAUCUCAUUUGUUUGAGCCCUCAUUUUUCUUGGAUCCCUGUCCUUGGCACACAGUAUGUGAGUGUAAAACCUGUCAAUCUUAUUGGACCUAAGUUAGAAAUUUAAGUGUGGCUUUCAAAAUGGAAGGCUAAUAAUCCUGUAGCAACUGCAGAAUUAUUUUCCUGGCCUGUCCGUCCAAUGAGAUAAGAAACCAUUCACCUGUCUUGCAGAUGAAGUCUUUAUGAGAACUGAGGUGAUUUGGCCUAGACUGUACACCUAGUUUUUUUCAAAUUGAAUAUCCUCAUUCAUCAGUAGCAAAUAUUUAUGGAUUGCCAGCCCCUGGAGUAUGACUCCUACCCUGUAAUCUUUUGUACAUUUCACAUCUUGCAGUGCUUGUUAUAUUGAAGCCAUUUUAGAAUUGGAGCGCUUUAGAUCAGGGAGGCAGCCUCUAUAAAACCAGGCUGAGCAAAUUCCCAUGAUGCUGGUUCUCUAGGCAGAGUCUCCAGAGAUUUGGGCCGCUACAAAAAGUGCAUUUUGCCCAUUUGGCUGUGGAUAGAGAAGCAGGAAGAGCACUGGACUUGGAGUCAGGGAAUGACAAUGGAUAAAAGUGAGCUGGUACAGAAAGCCAAACUCGCUGAGCAGGCUGAGCGCUAUGAUGAUAUGGCUGCGGCCAUGAAGGCAGUCACAGAACAGGGGCAUGAACUCUCCAAUGAAGAGAGAAAUCUGCUCUCUGUUGCCUACAAGAAUGUGGUAGGCGCCCGCCGCUCUUCCUGGCGUGUCAUCUCCAGCAUUGAGCAGAAAACAGAGAGGAACGAGAAGAAGCAGCAGAUGGGCAAAGAGUACCGUGAGAAGAUAGAGGCAGAACUGCAGGACAUCUGCAAUGACGUUCUGGUAAGAGGCCAGUGCUUCUGUUUUGAACAGUGGUUUCUAAAUAGUAUUAAUUUAAUGUAUAAAUGCAGACUCUCAAAACAGCUUAUGAGAGAGAGGUGUCUGAAUAUACUGGAAAGCUGCCAGCCAUUUACAACUAAUAUUUAAGCAUAUGAUAUAAUUUGUGUCACCUAUUGCCUGAUCAGAGGUUGUACAUCACUUCUGAGAUAUUUUCCUCUCCUAUCAAAAAGACCUGUGAAAAACAGUGACAUUUAUUCAGCCUCCCUCCAUCUUUUAAAAUUGAGGCCAGAUAGACAGGAUUUUAAUAGAUAACAGCUACAGAUAGGCUAUUGUGUAUAUUAGUCAGAGUAGUGAUGUCAUCGCCAGUAGGGGAGGGAGAUGAAAAAGCUGAGCUGCCUUUCAGCCUCUCCCCAGUCAUGCCUUCACACUGUAAAGUCCUGCUUUGGUCUGAAAGUUAGGCACAUCCAUCAAGUUCGGCAUGCAUUCCAGAGCCAAAUUCAAAGUGUUUUGGGCAUUCUCCUCUCCUUCCUGUAUUUUACGUAAGCCCUUAGUCAGAUGAUUGAUUCCCUCUGGCUGCCACUUGGGAUUGAAUGGGAGGGGUAUGUACUCUAAAACAAAUCAUCAUCAUAUUGUCUUUCCCCCACAUCCUGAGCCCAUUGGGAACUUUCUUUUUCUUCCAGGUGAAAUCAGGUAAAAAUGAACUCAGUGAGGGCUGCUUUGAAGGGAAAAGGAAUUCACACUUGGGGACCUACCACCUUCCCUGCUGGCUGCCUUUCCGAAUUACUGCCUAUGACUCCAUUCUUUUGAAAACCAGUACAAAGCUUGUCAGCCAUCAGGCAGCACCCCUUAUCCCUAACCCAUUAGGAGUUACACACUGACUGUCUACAAAGAAUAUUAAAACGACUACCACCCCCUGCAUCUUCUCAUUUUGGUUGAUUAAAUCCCCUUAUAACUAAGCUUUGCAUUGAGCUUCUCUUUUUAUUAGACUCAUGGCGUAAGAGUGUCAUGACUAAAUUUGUUGCCUGUUGGUAAUUUGGGGGUUUGUUAAUGGUGCACUAAUUCCUGAAUGUUAGGUACAUCUGGUAUUCAGAUGAAGUAUGUCAUGCAUUCCAAAGGCAAGAAAGUUCCAUAAUUCAUGAAAUGUAGACCAACUUUUAAGAGCAUCUGAAAGAAUGUGAAGAAGAGCUUGGUACUUACUGCCUCUUAACCAGUUUUUCAGGAUGCCACAUUCUAAAACAACUCUUCGAAAAUAUUGCUCUGUAUACGAAGCUUGGACUCCUUCAGAACUACUUUUGUUGUAAGCAUAAAUGUUUAAAGGAAUUUAUUAUUAAUAGUAUUAGCUACUCUUUGAGUGCUUACUACGUGCCAGGCAACGUGUUAAGCGCUUUAUGUAUGUCAACUUAUUUAUCAUUAUAACUACCCUAGAAGAUGGCUAUACCCUAGAAGAUGACCCUUCGUAUAGCUGAGGAAACUGAGGCUCAAAGUGAUUAGGUAAUUUGUCCAGAGUCAUACAGAUACAGAUAAUAAGUGGCAGAAGAGGGAUUUCUACCCAGGUCAGAUUGACUUUAAACUUAGUUCUUGGCAGUUUUGCUCUAUUAUCGCCUUUUUCCUCCUAAGGAAAGAUGUUUUUUUCCCCUUUAAUUAUAGAAGUAAUACCAGUUUGUGGGUUUAAAAAGGGUGGGGGGAACAAGUCAGAAGAAUAUAAAUAAGAAAGUAAAAAUCACUUCUAAUCUUACCACCCAGAGAACCAUUAUUAACAUACUCCUUCCAGGCUUUUCCGUUACGUAUUUGUGAGCAUGUACACAUAUGUAUCUUAAUGUUAAAAUAGGAUUCUUGUGGUAUUUAUAAUCUGCUUUUUUUCACCCAGAUUUCUUUUGAGAGCCUUUCCAUUAUCUGUGUAGCUCUGCAUCAUUUUAAAGGCCUACAAAGCAUUUCAUUGUAUGGCUAUACUUUAAUUAUCCCCUAUGGAUGGUCAAAGUGAUUUUUAACAGAAGCAUACAGGCAUCUGCUGUUAUGACCUGGGCUAAACAACAUUUAGUAGCUUGGAUGAAAAAUUGGUGUUUUUUUAAUCUUCCAAAAAAUUAUUUAGAAGCAGUAGUGUAUAUCUUGAAUCUCAAACAUAGUUUUAGCAUCUUGUGAAUAAUUCUAAAUUCUUAACAAUGUUCAUUUUUUAGGAGCUGUUGGACAAAUAUCUUAUUCCCAAUGCUACACAACCAGAAAGUAAGGUGUUCUACUUGAAAAUGAAAGGAGAUUAUUUUAGGUAUCUUUCUGAAGUGGCAUCUGGAGACAACAAACAAACCACUGUGUCGAACUCCCAGCAGGCUUACCAGGAAGCAUUUGAAAUUAGUAAGAAAGAAAUGCAACCUACACACCCAAUUCGACUUGGUCUGGCACUUAAUUUCUCAGUCUUUUACUAUGAGAUUCUAAACUCUCCUGAAAAGGCCUGUAGCCUGGCAAAAACGGUGAGAAAGACCCUUUGUGAUAUCUAACCAUAGCAAAACAGUGCUUGUGUUAUUAACUUCUUUUUAUUCCUGAACAUACUCAUUGUCUUGGACUUUUUUUGAAAGAUUUUCUGGGGGCGGGAGUGUAUCUUUUAUGAGAUAAAUACAGAUCUGUUACUUUUUUAAUUCAUUCUCAAUACCUUCUGCUGACUUUGUUUGAUUACUGUUUUUUGUGGGUUGGUUGUAGAAAGUUCCAGGUGAAUGUAGUUAGUUGUUUCUUACCAAGCUUUGAGCCUUGGUUAUACAUUGUCAUUCUCGUGCCAAGAUUUGAGGUUAUAGUUGUAUAAAAGAAAUAUACAGCACAUUGUUGUUGUGUGUUGGAUUACCUUCCAUAUUCUUCCUUUGGCCUUUUCUACGUAUUUUUUGUAGUCCCUCAACCUGCACACAACUUUUUAAAAAAAAUUUUAUUCGGGAAAGGUGCCUUAGAGUUCCAUCACUUAAAUCAGAUUUAGUGAUGUGAGUUUCACUUUAUCCCUUGUAUCCAGACCUUUUGAGUUUUAGUUUAAAUAAAUAAAUAAAUAAAUAAAUAAAUAAAUAAAUAAAUAAAUAAAUAAUUUUAAACAGAAGAUUGCUAGAAAUGUCUUUGGUAAUUAAAAAAUCCCACGCGUUUGCCCAGAAUGACUGUGCUAGGGUUAGCUUAGUUAUUAGGUACAGCAAAGUUCUUAUCUUGGAGUUUCUGUCAUUGUUGGUUGGUGCUUUGUAAAUAUGCCUUAUACUUCUGCUGGAAACAGCUAACAGACAGGGUAAUAAUAGCCUAGGUUCCCCCAAAGUACUGUACAAGAAGAUAAAUUAUAUUCACUUAGCAGAAAAAAAAGUGGGCUAAACUAGCUCCAGAGAACUUGUGAAUUCUUUGCUAAAGGCUCUUUGUUUUAGGCAUUUGAUGAAGCAAUUGCUGAAUUGGAUACACUGAAUGAAGAGUCUUAUAAAGACAGCACUCUGAUCAUGCAGUUACUUAGGGACAAUCUCACUCUGUGGACAUCGGAAAACCAGGGAGACGAAGGAGACGCUGGGGAGGGAGAGAACUAAUGUUUCUCGUGCUUUGUGAUCUGUUCAGUGUCACUCUGUACCCUCCACAUAUAUCCCUUGUGCGAU
rnacentral:sRNA from 1 species